GACAGUUUGGCCGAGUGGUCUAAGGUGUCAGAUUUAGGCUCUAGUAUGAAAAGGCGUGGGUUCAAAUCCCACAACUGUCA
rnacentral:tRNA from 1 species